AGUCCGUAGGCUUCACUCUCCAUACGUC
rnacentral:piRNA from 1 species